rnacentral:rRNA from 1 species
UACGGAGGAGGCAAGCGUUAUCCGGAAUUAUUGGGCGUAAAGCGUCCGUAGGUGGCGAUUCAAGUCAGUUGUCAAAGCACAGAGCUUAACUCUGAAAAGGCGACUGAAACUGAGUUGCUAGAGUGCGAUAGGGGCAAGGGGAAUUCCCAGUGUAGCGGUGAAAUGCGUAGAUAUUGGGAAGAACACCGGUGGCGAAAGCGCCUUGCUGGGUCUGCACUGACACUGAGGGACGAAAGCUAGGGGAGCGAAAGGGAUUAGAUACCCCUGUAGUCCUAGCCGUAAACGAUGGAUACUAGGCGUUGUCCGUAUCGACCCGGGCAGUGCCGUAGCUAACGCGUUAAGUAUCCCGCCUGGGGAGUACGCUCGCAAGAGUGAA